UCGGUGUGGGUAGGAGGCACCGCUGCUCUUGCCUACCAAAGGAUCGCGUUGGUGUGCUGGGGUCCUGGUAUUUGCUACGAAUGGUCCUCCUCUUCCUCCUGUUCAUCCUCUUCUUCCUGCUCCUCCUCUUCUUCCUCUUGAUCUUUAUCCAUCUCCUCCAAAUUCUCCACUUCCUCUUUCUCCUCUUCGUUUCUCUCUGCAUAUCCUUCCUUCUUUCCUUCCUUCUCUUCCUCGUUCGUCUCUGGCUUUCCCAUCGAACCCUCCUCCUUCUCCUCUUCCUCCUCUUUCUCCUCUUCGUUCCUCUCAUCAUAUCCUCCCGCUUCUCUCUUCCUCCCUCUCAUUCGUCUUCUCUACCGUUUCCAUCACCACCACCACCAUCACCUCCUCCUCCUCCUCCUCCUCCUCCUCCUCUCGUACACACUCGAGUGGACAAGAAACUCAUCUGCAUCGCCGGCCAUUUGUUAUUAUCUUGGAUGCAUCGAUAUCUUAUCUUGGUUAAUAGUGCGUAAUGACGGAGUGGGCGGCGGGAGGCUGAUACUGGACGACCUGCUCCGCCGUGAUGGAUCUGCCCAGAACGCAUCACCGGUCAUUCCCGCCAUCACCUGCCCCUCGUCCUCUCCCCUCCCUCACGCCCCCCGGGCCACGCCGCCGCCCCCACAAUAGCGCGUCGCCUCGCGGCAGGAAAGAGGAAGUAAUCAGAUUCAAUUAAGAAGAAACUCAGCGCAGAGACGCCGCGGGGAGGGUUCAGCGUCACGAGGGGCGCAGAGGCGUGUUGCAUUAUUUAUCGUGUUUAGUUUGUGUCUGUUCACCCGCUGAUCCGCGGACUCAUUGAUUGGCGAUGUUUUGGCCCUCGUGGUUGUUGUAGCGAACUUCACCUUUCACUUAUCUAUUUAUUACUUUUGUUUUAAUUUAUAGGUUUAUCACAUAUUUUAUUUUUAUAGGUUAUUCAGUUUCGUUAAUUAGUUGAAUGACUGGAUAUUUAACCUAUUUAUUGUCUUUUAUGAUAUUGGUUUAUUAAUGCAUUAAU